GUUGAAACAUUGGCUCUCAUAUGAUCAUUGAAGUUAAGCAACAUUGAGCCUGGUCAGUACCUAGAUGGGUAAUCAUUUGGGAAUACCAGGUGCU